rnacentral:rRNA from 1 species
UCUCUAGGCAAUGGAUGUCUUGGCUCCUCACACGAUGAAGAACGUGGCAUAAUGUGUUAAGUAACCGGAGUUGCAAACAUCAUGACAGGUUAAUCUUUGAAUGCAAAUUGCGCCUUUCUGGUUUCGGCUAUGAGGGCAUGGAUGCAACAGUAC